AAAAUAAAUGAAAUAAAUAAAAUAAAUGAAAUAAAUAAAAUAAAUGAAAUAAAUAAAAUAAAUAAAAUAAAUAUCGAGUUACAUGAUGAAAACUUAAUUAAUGCAUUUGUUUUAAUCAUUGAAUGUCCAUUUCUUCUUUUUCCUUCUUGUAAAUAUUAUUGCUAAUUUGUAAAAAUGCAAUGUGUUAAUAAUAUAUCGAGUUCAAAGGAGGAACAAAUAAUCCAUUAGCAUUUUAUGUUUGCCUUAUGAUGUGCUUGGUUUGUUUUGUUUUGUUUUGAUUAGAUUUGGUUUUGCUUUGUUCGGCUCAGUUCGGCUCAGUUCGGUUUUAUUUUUUUUUUUUUUACUUAUAUGAGCAUAAACACUGUAAAAUAUAUAUUUUUUUACAAUUUAUUAAUAAAUGUAAAACGAGUAUACAAAGAAAUAAUAAAUAAAUUAAGAUUAAUAAAGGAAAGAUAUUAAAAGCGAGAAAAAAAAAAAAAAAAAAAAAAAAAAAGGAAAAUUUGUUUGGAAAGAAGAAAGGAAUCAAAAUUAAAAUCAAAAAGGGAAAACGAAAAAACUGUUUUAAAAAAAAAAAAAAAAAAAAAAAAAAAAAAANNNNNNNNNNNNNNNNNNNNNNNNNNNNNNNNNNNNNNNNNNNNNNNNNNNNNNNNNNNNNNNNNNNNNNNNNNNNNNNNNNNNNNNNNNNNNNNNNNNNAAAAAAAAAAAAAAAAAAAAAAAAAAAGGUAAAUUUGUUUGGAAAGAAGGAAGGAAUUAAAAUUGAAUACCAAAAGCGGAAAGUGAAAAAACUGUUUAAUAAAAAAAAAAAAAAAAAAAAAAAAAAAAAAAAAAGGGGAAAGAACAAAAACAAACUGAACACACAGAGUAAGACUUAAUAUACAGAAAUGAAAGUAAGAAAAACAUUUGCAUUAAUUGUUGGAGGAGGUCCAACUGGCGUAACAACAGGUUUAUAUCUUCAGAAGUAUGGUAUACCACAUAUUUUAAUAGAAAAAAAUAAAUAUAUAGAAAAAACACCCAGAUCUCAUUAUUAUAAUAAUCAAACUAUGGAAGCAUGGAGAAAUAUAUGUCACUUGGAUAAAUGUUUUAUUAAUGAAACAGAAGAUUUAAAUUUAUGGAAAAAUUUUAAGUAUUGUCUAAAUAUAAAAAAAGAUAAAGUGUUAUGUUGUUAUAAUAACUUUUCUUAUAAAUACACUUAUAAAAAUACAUAUUAUGAAGACUUAAGUCCUUCAAAAGUAACUCAUUUAUCACAAUAUAAAUUGUUAGGUAUUUUAUAUAGUUAUUAUCUUGAAAAAAUAAAGUGUGAACCAAUUAAAAAAAAACAAUUUUUAAACAGAAUAAAAUUAAAAUUAUCUACACAUAGAAUUCUAAAAAAUAGUUUGAACUGUAAAGUUAACAAUGAUAUAUCAUUUUUGGAUGAGCAAAAAAAAGAACCUCAUAUUGACGGGAAACGAAAAACAAAUAAAACGUACAAUUAUGACAAUUCAUUUUUUUUUGACACAUCUGAAAUGCUAAUUGGAUAUGAGUUUGUAAAUUUUGUGAAUACUGCUGAAUUUGAUAAGGUUGAUAAAUUAAACGGGUUCAGAAAUGGAACAAAUGAUGUGGCUGGUGGUAUUGAUGACUCAGCUGGUGGUAUUGAUGACUCGGCUGGUGGUAUUGAUGAUUCAGCUGGUGGUAUUGAUGACUCAGCUGGUGGUAUUGAUGACUCAGCUGGUGGUAUUGAUGAUUCAGCUAGUGGUAUUGAAAAAAAAACCCUAUCACCAUAUUACACAAACAGACAAAAUUAUGUAGUAACAAGAAUAAAAAACGUAAGUACCCAUGAAGAAGAAUUAGUCAUAAGUAAUUAUGUAUUUUCUACCGAGGGUGGUAGAAGUAGUUUAAAAAAAAAUUUAAAUAUUAAUGAUGAGAAUAAAAAAGAAUUUAUGAAAUUUGUAAAUAUUCAUUUCCAUUCUAUAUAUUUAAGUAACUUAGUAAAAUAUAAUCCAGCUAUGAUUUAUUUUUUAUUUAAUAGUUAUGUAGGUGUUUUAGUUUGUCAUAAUUUUGAAACAGGAAAUUUCGUUUUACACAUACCUUGUAUAACAAAAAGUGAAAUAGAAAAUUACAGUAACAAAAUAAAAUGUUUGAAUAUAAUUAAUAAAUUAAUUGGAAUUCAAUUAUACGAUAUAGAUAUAAAUGAAAUUCGGAAAUGGACAAUGUAUAGUUCUAUAGCUUCAACUUUCAUAGAUCAAGUAUCAAACAGAAUAAUUUUACUAGGCGAUUCAGCACAUAAAUUACCUCCCUCUGGUGGUUUUGGUUUAAAUUUAGGAAUAGGAGACACUCUGAAUAUGGUUUGGAAAAUUGUUCGAAUUUUUAAUUUAAAAAUGGAAGUCUAUAGUGGUGGUAAGGAUGUGGUAGUAGCGACAGAUUCAUUUGCUAAUGCUAGUGCUAGUGUUAGUGAAAGAACACAACAAAAAUUAGGUCUAUGUCUACAAGACGAAACUCAAAAAAUGAACUCUGAUUUUGAUUUACUAACCAAGCAUGAUAAAAAAAAAAUAAAAAACUACAUAAACUCGUAUAAUGUUGAAAGAAAACUAGUAGCUAGUUAUACAAUUGAUAACGCUAUUCGAAAUUAUGAAAAGGGGAGUAACAUACCACUUAUAUUAGGAUAUCAUCAAAAAAUGUUAGUCAAAUUUUUUAAUAUAUUUAAUAUAGGUUUUUCUGAAAAAUCGUUGAUUUUUGAUCUUUUAUUUACAAACGUGAAAAUUAUUUUAAAUUUUUUUAAUAACAUUCCAUAUAUAUUUGAAUAUAAACAAAGGCAAGCACAAAAAUUAAUUAAACAUCAGGAGAAUAUAUUAACUUUGUUAUAUCCUGGGUUGGAUUGUUGCUAUUCUUACAUUAAUACUAUUAGUGGUGUAUUCAAUGAAAAUGAUUCUGAAAAUGAUGCAGAAAAUGAUUCUGAAAAUGAUUCUGAAAAUGAUUCUGAAAAUGAUUCUAAAACAAAUUAUGAAACAAAUUAUGAAUCAAAUUAUGAAUCAAAUUAUGAAGGCGAUAGUGAUAACAAGUGCGGGGGCGUAAGUAAUAAUAACACAAACCAGUUUGUGGCGAACAAAAAUGUUGAACACGUCGAAAAUAAUAGAAGUAGCAGUAGUAGUAGUAGUAGUAGUAGUAGUAGUAGCAGUAGUAGCAGUAGCAGUAGUAGCAGUAGUAGUGGUAGUGAUAAUGAUGGUAACAGUAACGGUAGUGAUAAUAUAAAAAAUCACAUUUUUCAGCAAACAAAAGAAACCAUUCCUAAAUUAAAAGUAUGUAAAAAUAUAUAUAAACAUGAAGUAACAAAUGUUAUGGGAUCUAAAAUACCUCACUUUAUUAUGUACACUUAUGGAAAAAAUACAAUUUAUAAACUUUCUACUGUUGAUUUACCUAUUUUUAAUAAUUUUUUUUUAUCUUAUUUAAUUAUUUUAUUUGAUCAUAUGUUAUUAAAUGAUUUAAUUGAUUAUUUUUUUAAACAUAAUAUACCAAAAAAUAAAUUUUUUUUUUGCUUAUGGGAUUCAGGUAUUUUAGUUUAUAAAAACAAAAAAACACAGGUUAUUAAUAUAAUAAAACAAAAAGAUAUUGAUAGUAAUAAACUAGAAAAAAAUUGUUCUAAUAACAGUGUAGUAAUAAAUGAUUCUGUUUUAUUGCUAAAUAAUUAUAAGGAUAUUCAAGAAGCUGUUUCGAAAGUAAAUCAUAUUCCUAUAAACAACAAAAAUUAUAAUGUUAAUUAUGUUUU
rnacentral:lncRNA from 1 species